rnacentral:rRNA from 1 species
AUUGAACGCUGGCGGCGUGCUUAACACAUGCAAGUCGAACGGUAAGGCCCUUCGGGGUACACGAGUGGCGAACGGGUGAGUAACACGUGGGUGAUCUGCCCUGCACUUCGGGAUAAGCCUGGGAAACUGGGUCUAAUACCGGAUAGGACCACUGCCUGCAUGGGUGGUGGUGGAAAGCCUUUGCGGUGUGGGAUGGGGCCGCGGCCUAUCAGCUUGUUGGUGGGGUGAUGGCCUACCAAGGCGACGACGGGUAGCUGGCCUGAGAGGGUGACCGGCCACACUGGGACUGAGAUACGGCCCAGACUCCUACGGGAGGCAGCGGUGGGGAAUAUUGCACAAUGGGCGCAAGCCUGAUGCAGCGACGCCGCGUGAGGGAUGACGGCCUUCGGGUUGUAAACCUCUUUCAGCACCGACGAAGCGCAAGUGACGGUAGGUGCAGAAGAAGGACCGGCCAACUACGUGCCAGCCGCCGCCGUAA